rfam:Oryctolagus cuniculus chromosome 4, whole genome shotgun sequence.
AGUGCUGUGGCUGAGCGGGUUAAAGCCCUGGCCUGAAGUGCCGGCAUCCCAUAUGGGCACGGGUUCUAGUCCCGGCUGCUCCU